GAACAGUUAUGCAGCCCCGGUCUGCUUGCUCCUGGUGUCAUUUCUUAGCUGCUUGGUACUUAAUCUGAAUCUGUUUCCACAUGUGUCAACAGAGGGGGACAUUCUUGAGAACUGCUAAGGGAAGGAAAUGAGACAAUGACCGUGUGAAUACUUUACAGAUGACAAGGGAAGGAAGACAACAGGUCAUUCAGGAUCAUUAGGCCUGUGCGUUUGCUUCUUCCUUAUCAAGCCCUCCCCUCACUUCUACUCAAAAGCACCCACCCUAUGGGGGUCACAGGGAGGUGUGGUACUAGAAUCCUGUGACCCAUCCCCUUCCUCCUGACGAGGCUCUGGCUCUCAAGAGUAACACAAAGUAAAUGGAAAGAAAGAUAGGAAGUGACUGGAGUAUGAAGAAUUCUAAGAGGAGACCCAGUGAAUGUGGGCAGAAUCUGUGACUUGCUUCUAUCCAAAAGAAUAUGGCAAUGGUGAUCGGACAGUCACUGUCAUGAUUAUAUCGCUUUAAAGAACAGACUGGAGCCAGAGACUCACCGCUGGUUUUGAAGAAAUAAGAUGCCAUGUUGUUAGAAGGCUGUUUGGCAGGAGAGUGUGGGGGGCUGUGAGAUGUGAGAGUAGCCUCCAGCUGACAGCCAGUAAGGGCACUGGGACCUUAGUUCUACAGAUGCAAGAAGACAAUUAUGCCAACCAUCAAAUGAGACUGGAAAAGAACCCUGAGGUCCAGAAAAGAACAUAGCUACCAACACAUAUGAAAAAAGAAAAGAGAAGAUGGCCAUAUUUAUGUACACCCUGAUAAGACCCUGAGCAGAGAACCCAGCUAGCAAACUCGAGUCCUGAGCCAUGGAAAAUGAGUCAAAUUAGAACUGUUUCUAAUUUGUGGUAAUUGGUUACACAGCAAAAGAAACCUAAUACAAUGAUAUACCACUGUUACUGCGGUUAGUAUUUUUCUAACUGCUAAACUUUAAGCAUUAUUUUAUAGGUUUGUUGGCAACCUCUGAACGAACCAUUUAAUGUGUUUUGCCCACUUUUUUCUAUUGGAUGGCUUGUCUUAUCAAAUUUUUAAGAACUUGCUGUUAUAGAUAUGAACCCUAGUCAUAUCUCCAAAUCGACUGUAUCUCUACUGACUUUGUUUAUGGGAUCCUUUGCCAUUGAUUUAUCUAUUUUUUUGCGUGUAGCCAAAUACAUCCAUCUUUAAAAAAAAAAAAAAAAAAACAGAUUCUGGAUUGACAAUCUCCGAUAAGUUGCCCCAACUCCUGAAAAUGUACAUGAAACCUCUCAUCUUUUCUUUAAGAUUUACAGUUUCCUUUCUAAAAUCUUAAGUUUUUAAUCCAUCUGGAAGUAAUUUUUUCAUGUUAAAGGAUUCUGGUUAAUUCCAGGUAAACAGUUAAUUGCACCAGCACAGUUUGGUCAGUAACCCAUCUUUUCCCCACUGUACCGAACUAUUAGCUUUGUCAAAUAGAUCUGUUGUUUUCUUACUAACCAUUACUUCCAAGCAUUUUCAGCUUUAGUGACUUGUAAAUACAAUAUUCUACCCCCCCCCCAUUUCCAGUAAUUUUUGAUAGGACAGAGAAAAGCUAUUUCUUUUCACAAACCACCUUACCCAAUAUUUGGCUGCCUUGGCUAAAAAAAAAAAAAGCGAAGUACUUAAUAAA